AAUUGAUGUGUGCGUGUGUGAAGAAUAAUGCUUUUCUUUAUUUAUUUUUAAUCAUUAUAAGAAAGGCAUAAAGGAACAACACUCUCUUCUAUUCUCAUACAGUCUUCAUCCAAAAGAGAUUAAUGAAAAUCCUUAUUUUUUUCUUCAUCCUUUCGAUCUUGUUCUUUCCAUCAACUACUAGAGAGCUUUACCAACGUUCAAAAGGUACGUCGUGACUCGAGUUCAAGUUUAUUAACACUGUUUUUCUUAGUAUUUCAUAUUUCUUUGUAAUUUCUUACAUUGGAGGUUAGGCUCUUUAUCCUCGUCUAAAGUACUAAGUGCUAAGUAUUACUACGUUGUACUUAAUAAACAUGCAGAAUCCUCCACUUUUUUCCUGUCUUUCUUGCCUUUUUCCUUUAGCAAUUUACAUAUGAGUACUAAGAUUUAAUAAUUAUUAAUCUAUAUAUAGCUCUUACUUGAUGGAUUUCAUGUUUGUUUUUAUGCAAUAAAAGGCAGUGUGCAUGGGAAUCCUACGGGUCAUGCUCAUUCGGCUGUUGCUAACAGAUCGCCACCAACUGCUCUGACAGCUCCAAAGACAUUUAGAAAUAAACCAGUGUAUGGAACAGGUAGAAAUACACAGUUUCGCAAGCGACCGUGCAACUCUAACAACGUAUGCGGACGGUCAGGCAAACCAUGAAACUAUCUUUUAUAUUUAUAGUUGUACUCCAAUUGAUGUGUUAUCGUUGAUAAUCAAGUUUGAAUAAAUAAAUUCGUGUUAUAUACUAGAUUUAUCACCAAGACUACGAAUAUUUUAGGUGAAAUUUGGCUACAAUGGUAUGUCAGGUCAUGGAUCACCUCUAAGGGGCUUGAAUGUGCCCCUGGAUAAAAUUGGCUCAACUAUUUUUAUUUCUUUGGUCAUCAUCAUGACUUAGUGAAAAGCGCCAUGGCAAUAAAGGGAUCCUCCUCAGCAUGGGAAUUCCUCGAUCGAUUAGGACAACCAACUUUGGAUAGCAAAUCUUACUGAGUUGCUUGUUUGAAGUGCGUUCUUGUGCUACAGUUGGCGUGAGUUGGCACAUGGCCACAUCAGCAUACAGCUCUAUAAAUAGACAUUUCCCUCAAAAAAGUAAGGAGAGCUUCACAACAAUACUUACGACUUACUCUCUCUGAAGAACAUCAUCAGACUACAUCUUGUUCCAACCACCUUUGCUAGCAUAAAAUUCCUUCCUCAGAGACUAUCAAAAAAUCAAUCUAAAUAUCAGGUAGGCAGCCACUGAUUGUCUUAUGCGCACGGAAAUUUGAGGAUGCUUCGGGUGAUUACGAAACCUCUUUUACAUUCUUUCUCAAAGCUUUGCAUUUUUGUCAUUGGAAAUUCUUUCUUUUUCUCUCCCUUGCUCUCAUUGCUUCUCUCUGCUCCGCUCAAGGAAUCGAUAAAAUUUCAACUUUUAUUUCGUGGACAUGGAUUUCAAUAAAGGUUGGCAAAC
rnacentral:lncRNA from 1 species